rnacentral:rRNA from 1 species
ACGUCUCAGUUCGGAUUGUAGUCUGCAACUCGACUACAUGAAGCUGGAAUCGCUAGUAAUCGCGAAUCAGAAUGUCGCGGUGAAUACGUUCCCGGGUCUUGUACACACCGCCCGUCACACCAUGGGAGUCAGUAACGCCCGAAGCCGGUGACCCAACCAAGCGGAGGGAGCCGUCGAAGGUGGGACCGAUAACUGGGGUGAAGUCGUAACAAGGUAAC